rnacentral:rRNA from 1 species
UACGUAGGGCGCAAGCGUUGUCCGGAAUUAUUGGGCGUAAAGAGCUCGUAGGCGCUUGUCACGUCGGGUGUGAAAGCCCGGGGCUUAACCCCGGGUCUGCAUUCGAUACGGGCAAGCUAGAGUGUGGUAGGGGAGAUCGGAAUUCCUGGUGUAGCGGUGAAAUGCGCAGAUAUCAGGAGGAACACCAAUGGCGAAGGCAGCACUCUGGGACGUGACUGACGCUGAGACGCGAAAGCGUGGGGAGCAAACAGG